CUCCGUCUCUCUCUCCGUUACUUAUAGUACUCCUGUCUGCGUCUCUCUCUCUCUGUUACUUAUAGUACUCCUGUCUCCGUCUCUCUCUCUCUCUGUUACUGAGAGUACUCCUGUCUGCGUCUCUCUCUGUUACUGAGAGUACUCCUGACUCUCUCUCGGUUACUUAUAGUACUCCUGUCUGUGUCUCUCUCUCUCUCUCGGUUACUUAUAGUACUCCUGUCUGCAUCUCUCGGUUACUUAUAG